rnacentral:lncRNA from 1 species
GUUUUGUCCUGUUUGGCAAUAAUCAUAACAUGCAAAUGUUUUAUUGAUUUGGUUGCAGUGAAUGCUGAUAACUGUGGACUGCCAUGGCAAUGCACACAAGGGACUAGAGUACUUCCUGCGAAUAGGGUAAACAGACAAGUUACAGUUUCCCGACUGUGACCCACCAAGAAUACUAUUGCGCAUCAUCACACUUCUUUUUCCCAGUGCUUGGAGCAGAUCUACAUAGGAAGCUGAAUCUGCAGAGCCGUACCAGAAUUUCAGCCUCGAAAGCAUGUCUGCCGCUGGAGAGGAGCCGGAGGUGGACCCGUCCUGUAAGGCCCUGUGGCUGCUGGCCUUCAGGCGGCAGCAUCUGCAGCACCGGCGCCUCCUGGUGCUCAAAGCCCGGGAGGUCAGCUGCCGGGGUGGGGUCAGUUCAGAGCCACCCGAGGAGAACAUCAACGCCUCAGAGCUGGAGUCCAUUGAAGCAGAACUUGAAGAAAUGUCCAGGCGAGAGGAACGACUGCUCAAAAGUGGAAGUCUCCAAAAGGAUCCUUACGGUAAAAUAUGUUGCACAUAAUACACAUUCUCUAAAUAGACUAUGUGGUAAUUCAUCGUUCUAUUAUCCUAUGUAUAUUAUCAGACGUCUCUUUCUCAGAUGUGCGAUUAUUUGGAGAGCUGAUAGUUCCAGGUAAGACAGCGUGAAUGCAAAUACAGCAAAGACAUUCCAUUGCUUCAUUUUAAAUUCAUAUACCAGUACUACUUGAUUUAGAAACAGUUUUCUCCGACUGAACUAUUUUUCAGAGCCAGACUACGAUAUGCUGACAUUUCCAGGUAAGACAGCGUGAAUGUAAAUACAGCAAAGACUUUCCAUUGCUUCAUUCUAAAUUCAUAUACCAGUACUACUUGAUUCAGAAACAGUUUUCUCCGACUGAACUAUUUUUCAGAGCCAGACUACGAUUUGCUGAAAUUUCCAGGUAAGACAGCGUGAAUCUAAAUACAGCAAAGCGAAUCCAUUGCUUCAUUCUAAAUUCAUAUACCAGUACUACUUGAUUCAGAAACAGUUUUCUCCGACUGAACUAUAUUCCAGAGCCAGACUACGAUAUGCCUGAGGAACCCUCCAGCCAACCCGAGCCACCAGAAAACAGUAAACAUAGUUAAUAUUUCACCUCUCUGCCUGGUGAUUGGUUACUUUCUGAUACUAUCUGAAGGCUUUGUUUGCAUUUCCCCCUCCGGUAGUGUUGUCAUUUCCAUAGAGGCUUGUUGGUAGGAGUGUUAUCAUCAAGCUUUUAGUCAUGGAAUAAAGGUAGAUUCGCCAGGUCA